CGGGGGGGGUUGGCCCCCCAUGGAGAGGCGAUGUGGCCAGAGUAAGGGCUCUCUGGAGAACAUUCAUGGCCGUGGUCAGACCAAACCCUGGAAUCACUGAAGUGUUUAAGGGAGUGAGGACUAAGUUUUUGGCUGGGGCCAAAGCGUGCCUCAGUAAUUUGGCCUUACCAAGAAUUCAGUGUAAACACAGCUCCUGUCAAUGUUGGAAGGGCCUUAAGGUGUAUCCAGGGGCUCUGAUUUCACCCUUCCACACCAGUCUCACGCUGGGAGCGUGCCGCAUGGCUAGAAAGGGCUAAACGUUGUGCAAAAUGAAUAACCCUGGAAACAGGUAGGGAGAAAAUGUUUGUGUUUUCAGGUCUUUACAUAUGUAUGAGCAGGGUCCACAUGUAAUCCACAGUCCCUGUCUAGGCUGCAUUCGGAUAAUGCCGAGGUCAAAAGAAGAUCCUAUCCUUUAAAUGAAUUGUAAACACGGGAUAUCUUGGUAUUUAUCGCUCUUUGAAAUGUCCUGUGAAUGGUGGAGGAACAAGCAAAUGGCCGAUUGUUAAUUCCUAUAGCUAAGUACCGGUGAUGGACCUCCUCCAAAGUCAUCCUGAUUACCUUUUGUUCCCUGAGGAAAUCCCAGCUUGUCAAAGAAGACAUGAAAUUGUAUAGAAGAUCCUUGGGCCCUGAUUCUGUCAUCUCCGAUCUGCUUAGAGUUCAUCGGGGACGUUUGCAUGGCAAGACUCGGGUUGCAGUUAUGCUGGUAUGGCCCCAGGUCACCACCAACCCACUUUCCCCAACAUCCCGGUUCUUACCACCACCAGCUGCCUCCAACAGCUGUAGCUUCACCAGCCAGCCCUGCAGACUACGGCCCUGACCCGCUGCGCUCCACCUCCAUCACCCUGCAUUUUAGCCAGCCUGAAGUGCAGCACUCAUUGCGCAGCGCUCCAGACAUGAUAACAGGACAUACGCAAAUCUGUGAUUGUCCUGUUCCCGCCCCUGUCCCCCCUCCCACACGGCACAGAUGUGUCAGGCCAUGUGUGUUUCCCCAGCAGUUCUGUUUCUUUUCAGUAAAUGGAUUUUUUGGCUUUGCAAACAUUCUUUAUUGCAUUAAGUAGAAGAUAGCGUAGGCCAGGAAAGUAACAGGCACGGCAAGUCAGAGCUGCUGCACUUCACUCCCGUGCAGGGCACCAGACGUUACCGGUGGCUUUCAGCCUCAAAUUGCUCCCUCAAGGCAUCCCGAAUCCUUACAGCCCGUGCUGGGCCCUCUAAGAGCCCUGCUCUCUGGCUGUUCAAAUUCAGCCUCCAGGUGUUGAAUCUCCGUGGUCCAUGCCUCAGUGAAGCGUUCACCCUUCCCUUCACAAAUGGAGGGUACAGCACGCAGAUACAAUCGUGGGGACAUUGUCAUAGGCCAGGUCCAGCUUCCCACGCAGAUAGCGCCAGCCGGCCUUUAAAUGGCCAAAAGCACACUCCACAGUCAUUCUGCACCGGUCAGCCUGUUGUUGAACUGCUCCUUGCUGCUGUCAAGGCUCCCUGUGUAGGGUUUCACGAGCCACAGCAUCAAAGGGUAGGCAGGGUGUCCAAGGACCACAAUAGGCACUUCGACUUCCCCUACGGUGACCUUCUGGUCUGGGAAGAAAGUCCCAGCUUGCAGCUUCCUGAACAGGCCAGUGUUCUGAAAGAUGCAUGUGUCAUGCACCUUUCUGGGCCAGCCUGCGUUAAUGUCAAUGAAAUGCCCACGGUGAUCCACAAGCACCUGGAGAACCAUUGAGAAAUAGCCCUUCUGAUUUAUGUACUCGGUGGUGUGCAAAGCCAGCCACAAUGUCCUGCGCGUUGCCCGGAGUCACCCGCCUGAUGGGCCAGAGGGGAUUCUGGGUGUAAGUGAAGCUCAGGAGUUGGUAGUGGCUCAGCAGAGCGAUGCUUCUGUGGAGCAAGGCAGAGGUGAAUUGGUGCUUCGAAAGAUUCCUGAAGAGAAGAUUGUUCAGGGUGGUCUGUGCAAGCAGCUGGCUGCAGCUGAAGGGUGUGGAAGUGAUUUAAUCAAGGAAGUUUCAGUUCCUCACAGCCAGACAUGUUCUGUUGUGAAUGGAUCCACUGACUCUCCUCUUGAAAGAUCCAGAGUGGAGAGCUUUGAGAGGGUCUCAGACGGGGUGAAAGCUGUUAAGUUGAAGAGCCCUAUGACCAAGUGGCUGUGCUUGGCCGGUUUGUUGGGGAGACAAGGUUGUUGAGAGAGGAAUGUCUCCGUGCUGAUUCUUUGAGUGAGCCGUCUGUGCUUCAGGGUCUGAGAACAGGUUUGGUUCCUGGUGUUUCAGAGCAGGACAGUUUUAUGGCUGAAUGCUUAAGGAUGCCGGGGAGAGCAAGCAAACUCUCACCCUCCAGCUCUCUGGCUUUGUGUGGUAUCUCUGUAAGACAGAGCCCAGCCUUGGAAUUGGUAGCAAUUAAGGAUCUGAAAACUGGUGAACAAGCUAGUAUCUUUGUUGCUGCACCUUACCUGGCUGGCAGGGAGAAGACGGGCUUGCCAGUAGCUGUUAGCACAGAGAGCCCACCCCAUCAGCCAGUGAAUUCUGGUAAGCAAGAGAAAUCAGGGUGUGAUCCUACAGGAUAAGAAGAAAAAAGAGAACUUAAUUCUGCAAAGGGAAGCCACAGAGUAACCCUGAAAGACCCAAACCCCAGUGGUAUUUGGCCAAAGGGGUGGCAUGACAAAAAUGAUUGUAGAUGGACAUGUGCAAUGGAUUUGGUGUUAUUGCUAAUGGUGAUUUUUGUAACUCAUGUGUUGCUAAUACCAAGAAUUGUAAAAAUGUCCAAUGUGCCUAAUCUUUGGGCAAAUCCCUUGAACACGUUGAGAGUGAAGCAUAAGAACACGCUUUACGUUAAAAGACCUUGUGAUCCUGAUAUUUCAGUUAGUGCCUGUAAACAGUCCUGGAACUUUUCACAGGGGAAAAGACAUUGCAGACCGGAUGUGCUGUCUGAAAAGGGAAACUGAGGCACACUACCAUAUUGCUUUCACAGCUAAAUGCCAAGAUUCCUGCACUAUGGACAACAUUAAUAUCUAUAGUAACUUGAUGUUAAUUGGGUUCCAAACAUUUGCCAGAGCUUGUAUGGAUAAAAUAGCUAUUUUCUUUAGUUCUUGGCAAGAUUGCAUGAGACAUACAGGAACCACGCUGCAAGAGCAGAUCCAAUCCACUUCUGUUCUAACCGAGUUUUACCUUGAGUUUGUAAAGAGAUUCAAUCGUGUUAUUGAACAUGACUUUGAUAAACCAUUUCUGUUCUACACUGAUACGGCUUCGAACCCAAUACUAGCUGCAGUAAGGCAGAACCCAGGAUGGGGAGCUCUUGGGAUGCAGUCAGUGACAUUUGUGUCAUCCCUUCCUGCGUCAGUUGUGCGUUGGGGGUGUGACGUUAUGGACAUUGUUGCAACCAAGGUCCUAUAGUUGCAUCAAAUCUUUUACCUAGGAGGUCAAGUAAGGUGUCUCUGAAAAUGUUAUGAUUAUGCUAUCUGGAUGUAUGUAUCAUUCUUGUAUUUAAAGUUGUAAGUAUUGGCUCUAUACCCUCUGAAUUUCAAACUUGUGCUCUGCUUCUGGGUGACACCCCAGACAAUUUGGCAUCAGCACUGCCUAGCCUGCUUGAUGGCCCAUUAAGGACCAUCAGCUACACAACUGACCCAUUGAGAAAAGGCAGAUACACCUGCUGACUCAGCAAGGCAUGAAGGACAGAACUCUACGGUUUUUCCAUGCCAUGUGCUGGGUAGCUUGGAACAAAGGAAGCACAAGCCACAUGGCAAAAGGACUAUAAAAGGCAGCUGCAUCAUCUCCAUUUUGUCUUCAGUCCUGCUUCUUACCUCUGGAGGAACUUUGCUCCAUGGAAGCUCUGAACCAAGGACUGAAUGACCCAUCCCAGCCGUGGAUGUUCUCCGGAGACUUGAUUUGAGCCUGCAGUUUAUUCCAUCACUGCUGCAAGCCUGAACCAAGAACUUUGCCAUUCCUGGAUGUCAUUGGUUCCAUUUCACCAAUGUUAACUCUCAUCUCUAUUUCUUUCUUUUUAUGAAUAAACCUUUAGAUUUUAGAUGCUAAA